AGUGUGAAUAGCUCGAGGAUGUCGAUGAUCCUCACAUUAGACUAUACAAAUGAACAAAUGUACUAACUUGAUGUCCUUUUUGGCUCUUUGCUUAGAAAUUGAGAGUUGGUAGGUUCAGGUUCCACAAAAUUCUGAAAUAUUCUUGUAGACAUGGUAGAACACUAUAUUACCAUAGAAACAUGCAUAUGUAGCAAUUACUCAAAAACUCAUCAUAAGUUCUUUAAUCUUUAUCCAACAUUAUUACAUGUAGAUUGGAGUGUACUUACUAUUCUUUUGGUGGAUCCUUUACAUAAUACAAGGUUAGUAGGCUUUGGAGUUUCUACUUACAUGGUGUAAUAGACUUUAAGUGUAGCCAACCAUAUUUGGUUAGAUAUCAAAUAUAACAUACAGUACAUGCUCUGAUGAGGGUUAUUGUGGUUGGAGAUUUGGACAAUGAGUAAUUCUUGGAAUCUCUAUGCAUAAAUAUAAAUCUUAGUCUUUAAAUUGCAACUUAUAAACUAUAGAUUAUAUUUAUAUUUUAAUGUUUAUAAUCAAUUAAGUUGAUUGAUCUCCACAUCAAUAUAAUUCAAACUUUGUAUCAGUGAAACAAGACGUGUGAAGACAAACAUGUAUGUACUUAAAGUAUCGAUGGCAUGCAUUCUUGUCCUUUUUUGUUUUUUAAUAAUCUCAUUCUUGUCCUUAACUAUGUAUUAUUUAACUGUUCUCUUGGACUAAAACAACUGAAGGAUAUAUUUCUUGUUGAUUAAAGCUAAGACACUAUGUACUUGUAACUUUUUUAAUAAUUUUUUAUUCUUAGAUUCAAUAGGUUGGCAUGCUUAUUAUCAAAAAAAUUUGAUAAGUUUGUUUGAAUUUUUUUUUUCCCAACAGAUAUUUUGUCUCCUACAAUCAACUCUCUAUUCUGCUGCAAUCAACUCCUUCUCUCAAAUCUAUUAAAGGUAUGUUUUAUCGAUUUUUUAUUGUUAUUCUGAUAAUUGCAUUUAUCAGUUUAAAUUUAUCAUUUUAUUUGGUGUCAUGCUUAAUAAUUGUAGUAACAGAUCUUAACAUAAAGAAUGUGCAAACAUCUUUGUCAAGGUUAUUAUGGCUCAAAGUCAUUAGCAUCACCUAUGUAUGCAACACCUUUCACACCCCUCAUUAGCUAUACAAUAAUACACAAUAUUGGUUUACGACUAAAUAACCAUAGCAUAUACCCUACUCUCCAUUUUGCAAGUUAGUAAGUGAUAUUAAAGCUCAACUUAUAGAAACAUAACUCAAAUUAAGAUAUUGGGUAAACUCAGAUAAAUUGAUACAAUCCUCAAAAACAUUAAGAUUUUGUUUUUGAUUGCCUGGUUGAUUGCUUCCAAUGUAGUUGUGUUCGCUAAUGCUUCUAUUAUGUUUUCAAUCAAACAAAAAAGUCAUUGAAUUUAUCGGGAAUAUUCUUGAUUAUUCCCGGAUUUUAAAAUACCAAUUAUCUAAAAACCAGUAUAUUCCACCGAAAUUUUGCGAAAUAUGAUGGCAUUUUAAACUAUAGUAGUAAGUGGGAAACUUGCGAACUUAAAAAAAAAUACCCAAAGAUAGAGGAUUCAAUAAAAAAAUCUUUUACCAUAGUAAAGUAUUAAUACACUCUCCAUACAGUAUCUAAGACUUCUUACUAUUGCAUACAAAUUCUCAGUGUUCCUAUACUGUAUCACAUUGUCCAUGAUUCUUACUGGUGUAUCCCCCUAUAUUUGUCAUUAGGAAGAUGUUUGAUGAUAUGGUUUCUAAAAAUGUAGAUUAUGUUGUAUGGUAGGGUGUUCUAGAUCGUAACACUUCCAAGAUUACAUUAAGUUUCUAGAGAUCCAGACCAAAUCAAUAGGAAUUUAGAACUCUGAUAAAGAGUUUUAGGAUAAUCUUCAGUUAUGUUAAUAUAGUGGUUGUUCAUGUUUUUCUUCUUCUCUAUUCCUAAGUAUUCUGAUUUUCCUUUUCAUUUUUAACAGAGUUCUAAAUCGUCAGCUGGGUCGCUCAGUUUAAUGAAUAUUAUAUAGAAAUGAGCUAUAAACAUUUAGAUAAAACUUUAUUAUCCAUACUAUAUAGAAAUGAAUAUAGUAUUAAAAAAAAUAUUUUAUAGAAAAACUAUGAAGUAUUCUAUUUGUAAUCCUUCGAAUGAUAAAAAGUAUACAAAAUCAAGGUCAAACCUGUAACGUAUCCAUUGCCCCCACUGGUGCUCCUUGGGGGGUUAGGUCGUAAGGUCUUGAGAUUUAUCUUGACUUCAGAUGUGCCGAGAUUAACAAAGAGUCAAAGUUAUCUUUUGGAAAGAGUCAGUCGCUUACCAAAAUCCAUAGAUAGCAGCAUCAGCUGGCACCAAUCCCUCUAGAUUGAUUUCUUUGAUUACAAAUGAAAAUUCAAUUAUGGCUUUACAAAGUAGCUUAGCUCUAUAAUGGAGCUCAGUGGUGUUCAGUUUAAGGGACUCCCUUCUGACAAUUCAAAAACCUAGAUACUACAGUUAAUGAUUGUCAAUGAAACUUAAACAAUAGAAAACAAAGUCGUUUUGUAAGUCAUGAAGCAACACAAGAAGUAAUGCUCUAAAGUGGUAGAUUGGUAUGAGUGGGAAAGUGGUAAUGUUAAAAGUUUUAACUUCAAACAUAUAGGUACUUUUUGAGUGUGCAGAAUCAUGGAGACAUAUGUGUCUGAUGUGGUUGCAUUAGUUAAUAUUGUAUGAUUUUGAUAGAAAAAACAUACAGAUACUAUAUAAAAGAAGUCAUUGGAAAGAACAUACAUAACAUAAGAGAAGUCAAUUUUAUCAGAUUGAGUCCCCAAUAACACAUUCAGAUAUUUGAAUGUCACAAAAGAGGAACUUCCACGCUAGCCACCUUCAAUUUAAAAUAUUGAUUAAAUAAAUUUUUGAGACAUAACGUAAGAAGAAAAUAUAAUUUGUGUUUGGAAAUUCGGUAGCAUUAUAGCAUAAAGAGUAGGAAUAGACUUACAAUCUUGCCAUUUAUCAAUCUAUCUUUGUUUGAUAUGUAUUAUUGAUGCAUCUUUAGUAGAUUGUUGUACUUAAAAAACUCUAAAAGCAUAACCUCGCUACACUUACUGCUACGAAAAACGAAGCUAUGAAACCUAAUUUAUGGCACAGGUGGGUUGUUAAUAUAUCUUUGCUCGAAAGAAACUGAAUGUGUUGAACAAAAAAACUGCGGCUAUCUAUGUAGCAUUUUCUAAUUCGUUUUAUAUCAUUUUUUUUUCUCACAGACUAAACCAAAAAAAGGCAGGUCAGUUAUUCUUUCUAUGAUAUUAAACAUGAAGCAGUUGAGUUCAAAUUUGUGGAUUGUCUAUUUUAUAUUCCUGUUUUCCAUGAUUUUGAUUAUUUUUUGAUUUUGUUGAAGAUUUCAUUUCUUCUUGCACUGUGUUCAUACUUCAUAAACAUUAUGAACCUUGAAACUGUUAUGUGCAUGGGAUUUACAAUACUGUACUUCUAAGCUAUGAAAGUCUUGUACCCAGUCAUAAGAAAGUAUAGAUCAUUUGUAUUUAAUAUAAGGCUGAGCUUAACGUGGGUUUAAGUUUAAAUCAUCGGUUGGGCUUAAGAUAUGGUACUAACUGAUCCCUCUAUUUCUUUGGUUCUUCACAAUAUUAAUUUUUUAUCUUUUGUUAAUACUUAAAAUAACACCAAACAGAUGUAGAACCAACCCACUAACAUAGCUUCUGCAAUCUAAUCUUAUCUACGAGUGAAGAGUAAGAUGAAGGUUUGUGUCGUGGUAGCAAUCUAGCUAAUAUAGUCAAACAUGCUGAUAUGUUUAUUUUUUCCAAGGGUCUUUAACAUUAUCAAAGAGGAUAUUUCAUUAUUAUCAUUCCUCUCCCUCAAUAGGUAUGUGCUCUUUGUUUGUUCACGUUAUUAAUCAUAAAGAUCGAAGUAAUAAAUUUUAUCUUAUGUUCUAGACUUCAAUCUACAUAUAUUUUCAGACUUUAGCUUAUGCACUCUUGACAGACCUUAAAUUAAGUUCAUAACAUACACUAUUUAAUAUGGCAAAACUCUCCCUAAAAAGACUGACCUGAUGUCUGACGCCUGUCGAGAGCCCCUCCCCCUCCCCACACAUUGCAUAAGUUGCAUCUUGAGAAAGAAAUAUUAGAUGAAUGAUUUAAUGGUGUAACCAGGAAGGCUAACCAACAAAAUUCUGGUUACAUAUAGUUAUUAUUGACACAUACUGCAAUUUAAUUAUUGGAAAAUUAAACAUGCUAUGGUUAGAUAAUAGGUCUGAUGUUUAUUACAUUUUCAACGAAUUGAGUAAAAGUCGAAUGUGUAAAAUAUUAUGAGCCAAAGAGAUCUUCCAAGGGAGUAAUUCGUUAAUAACCAUUUAUUUGCCAGUAACUUUUCCAUUGACAUUAGUUUGCUUAUGUACCAUUUCAUAUAAGAAAUUGCAUAUUAUACCUACCAUAAUAUUGUUGUUAUUAAGUUGUGAAUAAUUGUUCAUUAUGUUUUGUUUAUGUAGUACCUGGAACACAAUCAUGACAAAGAAAAAAAUACCAGUCAAAAGUGUGAAAACUUCUUCAACCAACAGUGAAGAGAUAAGUAAGGCAAAACAAGGACAACGUUUGAGAAGAGAAAGGGAACGAGCGCAAUCGAUUCUAAAUUCAGUAAUUGAACCUAUGUAAGUUUUUUCAAAUUAAUGCAUAAGGAUUGCACAUAGAUAAUAUAAUUUUUUUAUUUUAUUUAAUUACAUGAACAACAAUUUUCAUUAUUUGUAACAUAAAAUAAUGAUGCUUAUAAUGUUACCUACAUGGCAGUGAUUCUGAGAAACUACAAAUAGUGCUAGUAUAACAAAUGUGAAUUCAAACAAGCAAACAAACAAUACGCAGAAAGUAAAUAACACACAGAGAUUUUUAACGUGGUAAAACCCAAACAGGGAAACGUCCACGGUUGUCCUCGCGACAACAAAAUAAUCCACUAGAUGAAAAGAGAUGUACAAACCUAUCAACUACCUGCACUCACUGCGAGUUGAUACUCCUGGUUAUCUCUAACACCUUGACUUCACCAGAGCACCUUGAUGUACGCACAAGACACUCGACUUCUUGAUGAACACACAAGAAGACUCGAAGCCGAAUUCACAAUAACUCUUGAAGAUCACAAAGAUAUGAAUUGAGAAAAGGGGGAAGAAAGGGAAUUGAGUUCAAUAGCCACAAACAAGUUCAAUAUCAAAAACCUAACCAAAACACAUGAACAAGAAGAAGGAUGGACGGCCAAAGAACUAGUUUGUUCUAAGGAAGAGAAACCCUAUUUAUACUUAGGGUUGAAAACCUAGAAAAAUGGGCCGAAACUGUGCAAACCGACUUUGGACGUUCGUACGUCGAUAUGACGUUCGAACGUCGCCACACAAAAAUAAGCCUGCUGCCUAACAUGACGUACGAACGCUCUAACUAGGUACGUACGUCUCCAUACGAAAACACGUCUGCUGCCUACUUGGACGUACGAACGUCCUAACUGAGUACGUACGUCCUGACCAAAAGAUGUUUGCUGCUUCAGUGAACGUACGUACGUCCUAACUCGGUACGUACGUCCAGAACCCAAUAACUUAUCCUGGACAGACCUAAGAGACACAAGGACACGAGACGACCAUGCGUACAUCUUGAUUUUCCUAACAAUGAAUUCAAGGCGAGAUAACCAAAGACACUUUGUCACAAAAUUGAUGUCAAACCACUUCGUGCCGGUUUCAAUCUCCCCCUUUGACAUUGAUUUUGUGACAAAAACCUAUGACUCUAAUAGCACUUAUAAAACGUGCUUACAAUCCCAAACCAUGGCAUUUAUAAAACAUGCCUACAAAAACACUCAAAAUAGAAACACAUAACAAGUCACCAAUUCUUGUUAUCCAGCUUUAGGAAGAUGCUUUAACCAUCAGAGAUCGAACGGAAGCAAUCAAAGUAUCAACAGAAGUUCCUUCGAGCAACUCCCCCAUACUUCAUGAGCUCCAAAAUAUGUUUGGCACUUGACCUCCCCCAUAACAAUAUAACUUCUAAAAUCAUCAACACGUUCACUCCCCCAUACGUGUAGCAUACCUGAAACAUGACCCAAAAAUAACCUAACAACAAGAAGACGAUUGUUAGUACUUAGAGUCAUAAAUUCUCCCCCUUUUUGUCACAACAAGUGAUCAAAAUAACCAACCAACAAAGGAAAAGAACAAUAAUAAACCAAUAAUCAAGAAGAAGAAAUCAAUACCAAACAAAGAAUACAAGACAGAUAAAAAUAUAAAACUAAUCCAACUAUUAAAAGUUCAGAAAGUCAACUAAUAACCAAACAGAGAAAUCCAUAAACAUAAAAAAAACAAAACGACAAAAACAUAAGGCUUGAGUUAACGAAUUCGAAAAACCCGUUCCCAAUGACCUAGAGGAAGCUUGGAGAAGUAAGCCUCCGCACGAGCCGAAGGUCGAUUCCACCGAGCAAUCACAUGAUCAUCAUAAUCCUCCAACCAUUCACUCGUACAAAACAACUCCUCAAUUCUGCUGUCCAAGCCACAGUCGGUAAGCGGAGCAGCAAGUCCUGGAACCUUCGGAUAACCAACCAACUCCAAGAUGUGAUUUUGAAGAUGUCCCGGUAAUCUCUCCCAAUGAUUGACACGAACCAAACAAGGAUUAAGAAAAGGACGAUGAAUAUAGUCAUAUCCAUGGGGAACGCGACACAAACGACAAACCUUAGCAUUGUUCUUGUACUCCAUUACCAUGAACGACACAUAACCAACAGUCGGAACAAAAAUUCCAUGAAGUUCAUAUUCUGCCAUAGAGGAUUCUGAAGAACAAAGAGAGAAUUAGCAAGAGGUAAGAAGACACAAUAGGAGUGAAAGAGAAGAAGACUCCCUAUUUAUAAGAAAAUUAGGAGUAAACAUAUCAUGGACCCAAAAAGAAAGGUCCAUUACCUCAGAAAAAUUUACUGCAAAACAAGGAAACCAACUUGAACAAAUAUGAAAAUAGCAAUAUCCAAGAAUAUGUACAAUACCAAAAAAAUAGAAACAAACCGAUAUAGCAAAAAAAAAAUUUAAGUACAAAAAUGUGGAGAAUAAACAAGAAAAACCAACUACUCGGAGUCCGAGUCACCAUCACUCGGUUCACCAUCACCCUCGUCCUCACUCUCUGAGUCAUCACCAUCACUCGCACCUUGAGCUGGAGGCACCUCUUCCGGAAACGGAGGCAAGUCUGUGGGAGUGAAGUCCAGCUGUAGAUGACGCAUCUGAGCAACGGUCAUCGCAUGAAUAUCACUGAUCAUGACAUCAUGACGAGAGAGAAUGACCCCAAAACGAUCUAACCGAGCGUCCAUAUGAUCCUGAUGACGUCGGAGAGAGGAAACCCGAGCAUCAAUGGCUGCAACAGCUCGAUUUCCCCUAGCAGAGGCAGGGAUGGGGCGUCCAGAGGUCAAGGCCCGAUCAAAAUCAUCAUUACGAACAAGCGCCCUGCCUCCCCAAAUGAGGUGGUGCGUCAGACGCGCACCCACGGACUCGAAAGCCAACUUUCGAGACUGACAGCCCUUUUUGAUAGCGUUGACCCAGUCGUGGCCAACAAACUUUGGAGGGCUCACCCCCAUAUACUGUCCCUGAAAACCCAAGUGCUUGAGUAUAGUCAUUAUAAAGCUAGGGAAAGGAAGAGUACCCUUAGCUGCAUCAAUCUGAAGCAUACGAGUGUAGAUGACCUCAGAGAGAUGAAUAUGGUGCACCGACAUACAGACCACCAAUUUGACCAUGUCGUCGGUCAUAAUUAUCUUGUUGCCCUUGGUGGGGUAGAUGUUGGAGUGAGCAACCAUGUGCAAGAGGAUGGCGCUGUAGUGCUUGGCAUGAUACCUUUCCGUGACACCAUCAAUAAACAUCUGCUGAACCUGAUUGACAAAGUCAAUGUGAAUUGUAUCCGGAACAGGCCAUCUGACAGAAACAGCAUCUUCAGGAAUAAAGUCACCAUCAAUACCCAACGCCUCGCGUAUCACCUUAGGAGAAAUGGUGUAUCGCCGACCUUCAAUCAAGACCGAAAAACUCGAUCGAUUUUGCGAGGGUGUCUUUGUCUCAUAGAAUGCUAUCGUAUGCUCAACCGAGUACUUGGUGAUUGGUUGAGCCACCCUUAGCCAAUUCCGAGUCUCAAAGAACAAUGCGAUAUUGCCAAGUUGAGAAGUCCCAAGAGGAGUAGCAGCGAUGUCCGCCAAGUCAAAGAAUCGCUCAGGAACAAUGGCUUUUGCUCGAGGAUGAGCACCAAGAGAUGUGAAGUGAGGCGACAAGGCCGGAGUGGAACCUCUACCCCUAGGAGCGCGAGAAGAGGAUGCCGCGUUGGAGGGAGUGGUGCGUGCGCGCUUGGAAGCCAUUGUCUACACAAUCACAACAGUACACAAACUAAUAAUGUGAGAAAAUUGACAAAAUAACUAAAAUCAACCCCAUAGAGGCAUUUCAUCAAACACUUGAUGUGCAUAAUCUGAAUACAUGGUAUUGACAACAAUGUAGCAAAGGUAAGCAACCAAACACACGGCAAAACAUAACCAAUAGCAGAUACCAUGAACAUUACGCAGAUAACAUGAACAAAAACACUUCCCAAGAUUGUCCACAACAAAAAAAUGCAAGAUUGAGUAUCGAAACACCAAUUUCCAUUGAUUCAUCAUGUAAACAUACAACCUUAACUGACAAUACUAUAAAGUAUAACCAAGCAAUCAACAAAACAUGAUAAUGGAGAAGAGGGAGAGAGCAAUAAAACUUACAAGAGAUGGUGAUUGAGAAUGACGAACAAAUCUCCCGACCAACACACCGGACCAAAACAAGGAGAAGAGAAGAUGAACAAAUUUCAAACAAGACGAGAGAGAAGAGAAUCUCCUAAAACAAUGAUGGAAAACUAACCAAAAACUAACUACUUGUAGUGUGCCAAAGAGAGAACACGAUUGAUAUAACAGUUGGCCUUUGGUUUAACCAAAAAUUUGAAUUUAAACAGCAAAUGGGCCGGACUGUAUCAGGGACGUUCGUACGUCCUAAAGACGUUCGUACGUCGGGACUAAAAAAUAAAACAUCUGUCAGACCCUACGUUCGUACGUUCUAAUAACGUUCGUACGUUGGAAAUAGAUCUGCCCACCUCAACGUUCGGACGUCAUCACAGCGUUCGUACGACCCCCUUUUUUUUUUUUUUAUUAAAAUAAACCACAUAACCCGAAAAACAGAUAUUGAGAGACAUCACAAGAAAACACUUCUACUUAUCAUACGAAUUCCAAUUACAACCGAAUAUAGUUUAAACAAACCUCAACCACCAGAGAAUGCAAAAUCGAAGAACGUCAUCAUACACCAUGACAUGGUAGUUACUAGAAUGAUGCAAGUAUGUAGAAUAACCUGAUAGACCAAUACCAAUCUCCGAAAAACAAACUAAAGACAUGAUCAUUGAGAAUAUUGAAAGUCACUUGCAACUAGCCCAAAAUGAAACUGAACCAGAUCACAAUACCAACCUAAAACACACACUAUUGUUUUUCUUCUUGUCUUUCAACUAGACAAAUGCGAAGGCCACUAUUCAUCCAUUUUUUUUUUUUUUUUUUUUUUUUUUUUUUUGUAAACCAUUGAAACAGAUGCCAUUCCCGUGUGGGAGUAUGAAAUAUCUCCAUCUUUUACCAGAACAAGAACACGAGGGUAGGGUGUAGCCUACAUCUUUCGGCAAAACACACUCAAGAAGUGCAAUACCAUGAUAACGUGCAACACAAGAACUAACAUCUCUUGAGUGCAUCCGUCAGAGCAUGACCCUCACAGCCCCAACGGGUUCUUAGCCAAAUGAGUAUGCUCUCAAGACAUUCAAAUGGCUGGGGAUUUUGUGAGUCAUUGACCACUUACAAGAGGUGAGAGAAUAAAGAGAAUAAAAAACAACGAUCAUGAAAAAUCAACCAUGGAAGACUGGAGUUAAACAUGUAUUGAAAAUGUCAAGCCAACCACAUUGAAAUGCAUCAUGCAAGAAACUACCAAUACGAAGAGAGUAUAAUGUAACCCUACACCUAUGCAUGACACAAAGACAGUUGAGAACGCCAAACUAGAAACAUCUGUAAAAUGAAAUCCACACAAUAGAGAAUGUAGUAUGUCCUCAAUACCAACAACAACAAUAAAUGACCAACCCUAAACAUCCUAAACACAGACAGUUCCAAUGAACACAUUAGACAUAUGAAUGCAGAAGAGGUGUAGUGACAAUGAAGCAGUUAUCAGAUGAGCGACUACCAGAUAACACCAAGAUAUUAUUGGAAUCAAAAACAUCACACCUAUUAUCCUCAAACACAACCUUAAAUUUAGCAUCACAUAACUGACUAAUACUCAAUAGAUUGGACCUAAGACCCUUAACAAAAAGAAGCUCAUGACUAUUGAGCGAUUCAACCUCAGAAAAGUUACCUUUACCUUCAACCGGAAGCAAUUUACCAUUACCAAACCUAACCUUACCUCCAUAACCAAGAGUCAGGUUAUCAAUCAGAGUCUUAUCACCUGUCAUAUGACGCGAACAACCGCUGUCAAGAUACCAUGAUGAAGGCAAUGGUUCAACCAAACGAGCCAUGUGAGACACCAUUUUCCUGGAUGCAUCCAUACUCCUAUCCCAGAAAUGUGGUGGUGGAGUAGGCAUGGGUGUUGCUUGAGAACGGUUUCCAUAAGGAGAAGUUCUGGGUAAACCCCACGGAGCAUAGCCAUUCCACAUGUAUGGAGCCUGCAUGGAGAAGGUGGAAGACUUGUUCCAAUAUGAGUUACCUGCAAAAGAAGGAUGAUGAGCAGGAUACAAAUUAUUCCAACAAAAGGCAGAAGUGUGACCCAUGCGACCACAUGUUAGACAUUUAAAGCCUUUGUGUCUAGAGUUCUUUUUCCGAACAUGCUUUACAUGAGUAACCUUGGGUGGUGAUACCACACUAGACACCUGCACAGGAGCAGGAAUAGCGACACUUGUUGGUCGCACAAAGGUAGUGCGGGAAGUGCUAGCAGUAGCAAGGGGAACAGAAGUGUCAUAACCUAAACCAGAUUUAUCUGAAUGGGAUUUACCGAUUCCCAACAGAGAGUUUAGAUUAGCACUUGCUUUACCAAACCCAACCAAUUGUUUGUUAGCAGCAAACAAUUCAGCCUUUACUCUCUCAUGCUCCAGUACAAGGGAUCGAUACCGUGUUUCCAGAUCAUUAUUCAGUUUUUCCAGAGUGACAAUACGCACUUGGAAAUCCUCCUUUUCUUUCACAAACUCUUCCUUCAACAUGUUGGAAUCACCUGUAAGGUUGCAUAUAUCCUGUCCAAGACUCUCUACCUGAUCCUGCAAGACGGUGUUAGUUUUUUCAAGCAACUUUACUUGUUGCAUAGAAAACUUAUACAUGUCACAUAAUUCACUAGUAGUAGCAUGAACACCAGAAUCAGAAACAUUAAUAUCAGCAGAAGAAGAUACAAUACCUCCUGGAUGUUCAUCCAGGGAUGCACUGAAGACCACAUAAUUGGAGACAACAUUUGAGAGAUUCCCAUCAUCAUCUUCAUCUGAAUCAUCCCAUGUUACUGUGAGAUUCGCUUUGGAAUUAUCACCAGGUUUGCGAUCGACCUUCUUAUCACAUUCAUUUGCAAAGUGUCCAUAAUCACGACACUUGUAACAUUGGACAUCUUUACGAUCAACCCGAGCUCUCCUCCCAUCCACAGAGAACCGCUCAAAACCACGACUUCUAGGAGCAUUUGAGGAAUCAGGAAAUCGCUUUCGAGGAUCUCGAUUCUGUUGAUAUUUCAGAAUCUUCUGAAAGCUACGUGACAGAAACGCAUAGUUAUCAUCCACAUCCUGUUCUUCAUCAUCAGAAGGUCCUGUGGAAGGUUCUUUAGACGAUGUAGCUUUGAAUGCAACAGAUUUGUUCUUCAAAGGUUCUUCCAAAGCCUGUUCCAUCUCACAUGUCCUUAGUUUGCCAGCAAGUGUCUCGAUGGACAUGUUCUUAAUUACAUUACUUUCAGUGAUGGCAUCCUUUCGUGAACGAAACCGAGGAGGCAAAGCACGCAGUAUCUUACGUACCACCUGUGUGUCAGUAUAUGCAUGACCAAUAGCUGCACUGCAGUUGAUGAUGUCUUGGAGACGAAUAAAGAAAUCAUCAAAGGUCUCAGAAUUAUCCAUCCGUAGAUUCUCAAACUGAGAUGUUAACAGUUCCAGCUUACUUUCUUUGACUGUUUCGUCACCUUCAUGUGUACAGAUAAGCCUGUUCCAUGCAUCUUUAGCCUCUUCACAGCCCUGCACCCUACGAAACUCACUAGCAUUUAAUGCCAUGAAAAUAGCAUUGAGUGCCUUGUUGUUAUAAUUUGCCAACAACUUCUGUUCAGGCGUCCACUUUUCACGUGGCGUCAGUGAUGUAACAGCAGUAUCAUCAGUACCUGUAGUAGUCAGAGGUUCUUUCCACCCUGUGACAACAGAAAGCCAGACUUCUUCUCCUAAUGCUUGGAGAUAAGCUCGCAUACGUACUUUCCAAUGACCAAAGUCCUUUCCACUGAAUUGUGGAGGAAGACUUGAAGUAGCAGACUUGUGAGAUUCCAUAAAGCACUAUUGAUCGUUAGCGUGAGCCUUUACGCUCCUUAACCAGCCCCCAGCGACUGAUACCAAUUGAGAAACUACAAAUAGUGCUAGUAUAACAAAUGUGAAUUCAAACAAGCAAACAAACAAUACGCAGAAAGUAAAUAACACACAGAGAUUUUUAACGUGGUAAAACCCAAACAGGGAAACGUCCACGGUUGUCCUCGCGACAACAAAAUAAUCCACUAGAUGAAAAGAGAUGUACAAACCUAUCAACUACCUGCACUCACUGCGAGUUGAUACUCCUGGUUAUCUCUAACACCUUGACUUCACCAGAGCACCUUGAUGUACGCACAAGACACUCGACUUCUUGAUGAACACACAAGAAGACUCGAAGCCGAAUUCACAAUAACUCUUGAAGAUCACAAAGAUAUGAAUUGAGAAAAGGGGGAAGAAAGGGAAUUGAGUUCAAUAGCCACAAACAAGUUCAAUAUCAAAAACCUAACCAAAACACAUGAACAAGAAGAAGGAUGGACGGCCAAAGAACUAACUUCUUCUAAGGAAGAGAAACCCUAUUUAUACUUAGGGUUGAAAACCUAGGAAAAUGGGCCGAAACUGUGCAAACCGACUUUGGACGUUCGUACGUCGAUAUGACGUUCGAACGUCGCCACACAAAAAUAAGCCUGCUGCCUAACAUGACGUACGAACGCUCUAACUCGGUACGUACGUCUCCAUACGAAAACACGUCUGCUGCCUACUUGGACGUACGAACGUCCUAACUGAGUACGUACGUCCUGACCAAAAGAUGUUUGCUGCUUCAGUGAACGUACGUACGUCCUAACUCGGUACGUACGUCCAGAACCCAAUAACUUUUCCUGGACAGACCUAAGAGACACAAGGACACGAGACGACCAUGCGUACAUCUUGAUUUUCCUAACAAUGAAUUCAAGGCGAGAUAACCAAAGACACUUUGUCACAAAAUUGAUGUCAAACCACUUCGUACCGGUUUCAUAACUUUGGUAAGUCAAAACCUGCAAUAAAAGUUAAUGUGACCUACCACCUAAGUAAGGCAAAGCUAGGGCAACGCAUAAGAAGAGAGAAGGAACGAGCACAGUCAAUGCUAAAUUCAGUAAUCGAGUCGGUGUAAAUUUUACUUAUUCAUUUAAAUUUAUUCCAAAAAUGUCGUGAGACAUUUUGAUUCAUAUCUGGUGUGAGCGUUAGAGCAUUAAAUAUCCUUUUAUUUAAUUUUAAAAACACAAAUUUAUUUUUAUUUUUAUUUUUUUCCAACAUUUUGUAAUUAGUUUUUGAGAACUUAAUCUCUACAAUUAGUCUUUAUCAAAGCAUUAGUAUUGUAAGAGUCAUAAUGAUAAACAAACCUUUGAGAUAAUAAAUUGGUUUCAGAGUCUCUAGGACAUCAACUUCUAUUUGAUGUUCAUUCCAGAACAGUUUCAGUUAUUUAAAUUUUAAAUUUUCAUUUUAAGUUUGUCUGUACUACUGUUUACAUUUUCAAGAUUUUAAAUAGUAAGCUUCUCUGUAAGACGCUGUAGUCCAAAAAUCACAUUCAGUUUGCAACCUACAAUUAUGUCAGGAAUCAUGAUUAAGAGACUUAAAACUUUAUAUUGCACACCCUUCAUUUUUUUAUUAGAAUGCUCAAUGAAUGGUGUUGGACCUUACGUAAAACAUUAUUGGAUAAUUCAUGGAACUGUUUGGACCUUAGGGAAAAUAUUUUACUCAACUGUGCAAUAUAAGACACAGAAUGGUGUUGAGUAUAUUUGUACAGACUAUGUUAAAAUCUUGGUAUAGAUGUUACAAAUACUAAUAUACUAUCAUAUUAUUUAAGCAAUAUCAUAUUAUUUACUUUUUAGGACAUUGAAAUAUAUGUUAUUGUCUUUUUCUUUUUCAUUUUAAAUAUAUAUAAUAUUUUUUCUGAUUUAAUAUAGGGAUAACAUUGUAUCGAAUAACAUUAUGGUUUUGCCUAACAAUCAACAAGCUCAACAUAAAAGAGGACAAAAAGAACAGUUUGAUACAGUUUCUGCAGGAAGUCAACCAGCGUGAGUUACAUUUAUAAUUACCAUUUUAUGGAUUUGUUUUGUAAAAUAAUUACUAAUCUAUUCCAUGCAUAUAUAUAUAUAUAUAUUUUAAUUCAGUAAGCGUCCACGGAAAUCCAAAACAAUUUCUUCCGAUAAAGCAAAUAUCAGACAUUUCCCACUAUCCAAAAUUGGUGGAAGAAACCAAAACUUACAAGAACCAACUCAUGGAACACAAGCAAUGUAAGUUAUUAUAAACGAAUUUUCAUGAAACAACAUUUUACACAUUUAAUUCUUUCUUUAAAUACAAAAGCAAAUACUACUUCUUUUGAACAUAAUUUGAAUUGUCCUAUAUUUUGCUCACAUUUGCCAUGUAUUAUGUAUAAUUUGUAAGGAUUGUACUGAACAAGGAAAAGAUCAAAGAGUUAGCAACUAUCAACUUGGUCAACGUAAAAGACGAGAAAAAGAACGUGCCAAAGCGAAUUUACUAAUAAUUGAAACAAAUAUGACUGAAGAAGUUGAUCCAAAGUAAGUUAAACUUUACAAUUUUAAAUUUAGGGUUUCAUAUAAUUGUCAUUUCUAUUUUAACUAUUUAUUUCUGUAUGUUAGAUAUUAAAAAAGUUAAAAAAUUGUAUGCAGCAUUGUAAAAGAAGAUAAGAGAACUUUGAGCCAACGUGCUAGAAGAGAAAAAGAAAAAACCAAACGAACUGCAUACUCAUAUGCAAUGGAUGGAAUAAGCAUUGCAAUGUUAACUCCAAACAAUGUAAGACAACCUACUAUUGAGGUUAUCUAUACACAUGGUUCAUCAUCAACUGGAAGCUCUAUCCAUGAAAAUGAAGUUAUAACUCCAUGGUCUAUCAAGUAAGUAAUUCUUAUCUUUGUUCUUUUUUGUAUAUUUUUAUUAAAAAUUGUAAAAAAAACAAAAAAAAAAUUGUAUAAAUUUUCUCGUAUUUAGUUUCUACCCCAAAUAAAAAUUAAAGUUCUAUGAUUUUUUUUAUUUAAAAUUUAGUACUAGAUCUGACAUCCUGAAAAUUGCCAUUUUAUAGUUGGGACUAUUGACCUGCUACAUUUCAAUAUUAGUUAAAAAAUUUCAGAGAUUUUAAUAGGAAAUAAAACCUUACUCAAUUCUAUUAUUAUUGUUAUUAAAAUGUUUUGGAAUUCUUCACAACCCAAACAAUUUCAGUAUAAACAUCAACAGUUGGAUAAAGCUCCACCAAAAAAAAAAAAAAAGACAGCUAGAUAAAGCAAUUUCUAUUAUCUCAUCCACUGCCUACUCAAAUCAAAUGACCAAUAAUGCAUCUAACCAGUCAUUUCCAUUAUCACGUCAUUUUCCAUUUAUCCAGUAAAUUAGAGAUGACCCAUCACAAUUCUUAAAUGGUUAUUAAGUAUAUUAAUAUUGCCUCUUUUCAAUACAUUUAUGGUAAGAGAACUAUAAAAAAUGAUAUUAGAUAUCUAUUUAUAUUAUGAGAUGAUUUAGUUAAGUAGUGAUAAUAUCUUGUUCAUAUGCUUAUAAACGUUAUUCAAACAAAAUAUAAUCUUUAAAGCUACUUGCAUUAAUUUUGUUAUUGUUAUUUAUAUUUAUGAAGUUUAAUAUCUAUCAUGACUAUUUUAAUUAUUAUAUUUAACAACUUUAUCCACUGUAAUAAUAAUAUAAAUUUAUAAAUCUGGUCGUUAAGCUUUACUUGGUUUUUUAAUUGAAUUUAUUUUGUUUUACAUUUUUCCAAUCUAAGUUUUUUUUUUGUUUUUUAUUUUUUUUUAAAAAAAAAUAGACUAUAUUUGUCUUUUUACAUGUUAUAUAAUUUUUAAAUUUUCUUAUAUUUAUUCUUAUGUUUUUAUUUAUAGCGAUGAUAAUUCUACAACAAUAGAACAAAGCCCAUCAACUGAUACUCAACCAAUAUAUGACUCUCAUUAUGAUUCCAUCUUAGAAGAUGAAACUAGCAUUCCAACUGAGAAAAUUAUAGUCUCAAAUAAACGACAUAGUUUGGGUAAAAUGGAUAUUAUUUGUAGUGCCUGUUCUGCAUAUCAUUGGUUCGAUGAAAAAUUAUCAUCGUCCAAAGUUGAUACACCUUUGUUUGGAAUGUGUUGUUUACAAGGAAAAAUUACACUGCCACUCCUAACUCCAUUGCCUCAUGCUAUACAAUCGUUAUAUAACGGUUCCGGACCAUUGUCCAAAUCUUUUAGGGGAAAUAUCAGAUCAUAUAAUGCUGCAAAUGCCUUUUCAAGCCUAGGUGUUAAAAUGGAUGACCGCAUACUUAAGGGUCAAGGUCCAAAAUCCUUUACUAUACACGGUGAGUUGAAGCAUAGGGUUGGUUCGUUGUUGCCAGAGGAAGGAAAUGAUCCAUGUUAUUCACAAUUGUACAUCUAUGAUCCAAAUGAAGCACUAGAAUAUAGGAAGAAACGCAACACACACUUGGAUCCAGAAGUUUUAAAGAUUAUUCAAGACACUUUGUUGGAAGAAAACAAGUUAUGCAAAAUCUUCAAGUCCGCAUACGAAAUACUUAGAGAAGCUAAUGAUGAAGAAAACUGGAAUAUACCUGUAAGGUUAGCUUUUAUGCCCGGUACUGAUCCAAGACGAUAUAAUCUUCCAACUUCAGAUGACAUUUGUGUACUUUUACCAGGAGAUGGUACUGAAAAGACCAAAAAACGAGACAUUGUCCUUCAUUUGAAGAGUAAUCGUUUAGAAAGAAUUAGUGAAUGCCAUCCACUAUAUUUACCUUCCCACUACGUUUUGUUAUUUCCAGAAGGUGAUAUGGGUUGGUCUCCUGAAAUGAAAUAUUGGGAUGUAACAAACCAAAAAUUUUAUACAGACGAAGACGAUGAACACAGGUUGACACAACGGGAGUAUUUUCGUUAUCGACUGUUUGAUAGAAUUACAUAAUUUUCUUCCUUAUUUUUGGCUGGUCCUUUGUUUCAAGAAUUUAUAGUGGAUGCAUGGGCGUCAUAUGAACAAAACAAGCUAAACUAUAUUAGAACCAACCAAGAAAAGCUCCGUUGUGAAGUUUAUGGUGGUUUAUCAGAUAUAGUUAUCAAUGGCGAUGAUCCUUCACAAAUUGGCAAAAGAUUUAUUCUACCUUCUUCUCAUAUUGGAAGUCCAAGACAUAUGUAUGAAAUAUACCAAGACUCCAUGGCAAUAACAAGGUUUUUCAAACAUCCAGAUAUUUUCAUGACAGUAAUAGCAAAUCCAAAAUGGCCUGAGAUUCAAAAUGAACUUUUAGCAGGACAAAGUGCAACUGAUCGUCCUGAGUUGGUUGCCCGUGUAUUCGAAAUGAAAAGGAAGGCUAUUAUGCAUGAGAUAUUGCACAACAAUGUUUUCGGUCGAGUUGUUGGAAGGGUUUAUACAAUAGAGUUCCAGAAGCGUGGGCUACCUCAUAUGCAUGCAUUAUUGUUUCUCCACCGUGAAGAUAAAAUCAAAACUGCCGAUCAAGUAGAUAAAUUUGUAAGUGCCGAGUUCCCAGAUCCAGAAAAACAUCCUGAGUUGUUCGAAACAAUAAAGAUAUGCAUGGUGCAUGGACCUUGCAGAAAACGCAACGAACACAAUUCUUGUAUGGAGAAUGGUACUUGUAAGUUCAAAUAUCCUAAAGAACAUAAUACUGAGACGAAAGUUGACGUAGAUGAAUAUUCAAUAUAUAGACGCACAAAAACUGGAAAAUAUUAUAUGGUUAGAGGACAUUUGGUUGAAAAUAGGGAUGUUGUUCCUUACAACCCAUAUUUGUCUGAGAAGUUUGACUGUCAUAUAAAUGUUGAAAUAUGUGCGUCUGUAAUAGCAGUUAAAUAUUUUCAUAAAUAUAUUUACAAAGGGCAUGAUAGAGCUACCAUGGUGGUUGGUGGUGUAGAUGAUGAGAUUCAGCAAUAUAUAGAUGCAAGAUAUAUUGGGCCAACAGAAGGAGCGUGGAGAUUGUUCGGAAACCGAAUUCAUGAUGAAUGUCCAAGUGUAACAAGACUUUCCCUACAUCUCAAAGGUAUGCACUUAUGCAUAUUUGAUCCUGAUACACCUCCGGAACAAAUAGUGGAAAAAGCCAAAAAUCAAAAAUCAACUUUGACAGCUUUUUUUGAUUAUUGCAAUGCUAAUGAAAAUGCGAGAUGUUAUACAUACCAAGAGUUUCUAGAACAUUUUGUUUGGAACAAAGAAUACAACAAACAAUGGACUCCAAGAAUGACUUCGGCAUUUUCUAUAGGGCGGAUGUAUUUUGCCAAUCCAAAUUGUGGUGAAAGAUUCUAUCUGAGGUUGUUGUUGACGGUUGUUCCAGGACCAAUAUCUUUUGAAGAUCUUUAUUUUGUUGACAAUAUCGAGUACAAGACUUACAAAGAAGCAUGCAUAGCUCGUGGUUUGCUAGAGGACGAUAACGAAUGGGAUCAAUGUUUAGAAGAAUCAGCGAAGAUGAAAACUGGAUAUCAGUUGCGCAAGUUGUUUUGCUUAAUACUUACAGAUUGUAAUCCUACGCAGCCUGAUGUUUUGUGGGAAAAACAUGCCUUAAACAUUUGUGAUGAUUUACCACACAAACUAAGGAUGAGUUUUUCAAUUACAAACCCAACUGAUACUGAGGUAUGCGAUUAUGGUUUGUUUCUUUUAAAUGAAUAUCUUGUAGGACUUGGUAAAAGUUUAACCGAUUACCCUCAAAUGCCAUUACCUACUAGAGAUUGGCAACAAACUGGGAACAAUCGUCUAAUCUUAGAACAUGAAGCUCUAGCUUACGAAGGAUUAAAUGUUGAGGCAGAACAAAAAAUUGCUCAAUUGAAUUCUGAACAACUACAUGCUUACAAAGAAGUUACAGAUUCAGUUCUAAAUAAUGGCGGCAAAAUAUUUUUUCUUAAUGGUCCAGCUGGAACAGGGAAAACAUUUGUGUACAACAUAAUAGCAGAUUCACUCAGAAGUAAAGGGCACAUUGUGAUUAUGGUUGCUUCAUCAGGUAUUGCUUCAUUACUAUUAACUGGUGGAAGAACAGCUCACUCAACAUUUAAGAUACCACUUAAUGUUUUAGAUGAUUCUGUUUGCGAUAUUGGAAAGAAAUCAUUCAAGGCUGAAUUAUUGAAACAAACAAAACUUAUUGUGUGGGAUGAAGUACCAAUGCAACAUCGGUAUUGUGUUGAAGCUGUUGAUAGAAGCCUACAAGAUCUUUUGGGCAACAAAAAAUAUUUUGGAGGCAUUACAAUUGUUUUAGGUGGUGAUUUCAAGCAAACGCUACCAGUGAUACCAAAAGGAACAAGACAAGAAAUUGUUUGUGCGUCCUUAAUAAAAUCUCACCUGUGGCAAGAAGUAGAAGUUCUCACUUUGGUAAAGAAUAUGAGACUGAACUGCGAUGAUGUAGAAAACAUUAAGUUUGCAGACUAUUUAAUUGAGGUAUUUGUAAAACAUAAAUUAAAUAUUUAUAUUUUAUUAAAUUUAACUCACAUAUAUUAACUAUAUUUUUAUUUCCAUAUUACUACUACAUGUUGGAACUGAUCCGGCAGAAGAUAUUGAAUUACCAUCAGAGAUAACACGGUGUAAGAAUUCUGUUGAGUUGUUAUUCAAAGUUUAUCCAAGGUUGAAUAUUCUAGGAAUAGCAACAUCGGAUUACUUAAGGGAUCGAUCAAUUCUUUCAGCUCGAAAUGAUGAUGUCAGUGAUUUAAACGCAUUAGCUAUUCACCAUUUUCCUGGAGAAAUGCAUGAAUAUUUUGGGGCUGAUAAAGCUAUAGAAGGUGAUAUAAGAAUUGAAGACAGAGGAAAUCGAAUAGCAAAUGAGAAUAUGCAAGCACUAGAUCCCCCGAGUCUUCCUCCUUUUAAGCUUCAACUUAAAAUAGGAUGCCCUAUAAUGUUGUUGCGAAACUUACAACCUAGGGAUGGGUUAUGUAAUGGAACAAGGUUAAUGGUCGAACAAGUAGGUUUAAGAGUCAUUGAAGCAAGAAUAUUAACAGGUAGCCAUGUUAAUGAUCCAGUAUUCAUACCAAGGAUAACUCUUGAACCUACAAAUUCUCAAGUACCAUUUAAAAUGUCACGUCGACAAUUCCCAGUACGGUUAGCUUUUGCAAUGACAAUCAAUAAAUCUCAAGGACAAUCGGUCAAGAUUGUUGGUAUCGACUUGCGAAAUCCAGUUUUCAGUCAUGGCCAAUUAUAUGUUGCUUUAUCACGGUGCACUUCAUUAAGAAGAAUUACCGUCUGACUCUCAAGUGAAAAAGAUAAAACUACAACAAACGUGGUUUACCAGAAGUUCUUCUAUAAAGAUUUCAGGUAUAAAAUUUUCAAUGAUUAAAAUACUAUUAGUUGCUGUCAUUAGUAAAGAUUUUUCCAAUAGUUAUUAGUAAAAUAUUAAUAUACAUUUUUUAAUAAAAGAUACUACCAGUAUCUUCAUUUAAUUAUGCAUCACUAAUUGCUAUUUAUUUUUAAAAUUUGCUGAUCUAUUUCUUUUACUUUGUUGCAGACUACAGUUGCAAUUACAUUGUCAAAAUGUUCUUGGUACUUAAUAGGCAGCAGAUGUUUAUCUUUCGGGUUUAUUUCAAAUAAGAAUUUUUUGUCAUAAUCACACUUAGUGCUUAUCAAAUAUGGCUACAGUCAUUGGACUUCCAAGGCAUGUUGAGUGUUAAACAUGGUUAAGUCACUCAGUUGGAUUAAAUUAAGAUUUUCUAUUAUCUAGGUUUUCAGUGGUAGGUAGUACAAUUACUUCUUUGUGUAAAAAAGGAAAAAUUAAUGUUUGUUUCUAUUUUUUAUAUGACAUUUUAGUUUUCAAAUUCAGUUUUGUUUUUAAAUUCUUCUUAUAUUUUUGUGUUCUUAUAAUCUAUAAUGGUUAUUCAGUUUUAAUCUCAAACGUAAUUAUUUAUUUUUCUUCUUUCUUCUAACUGUUAUUCCAAGUUCCUCCACCUGUUUUUUUUUUAUAAUAAUGGGAUGACUGGAAUGGAGCUGGCGGUCACUGUAAUUACAGGUAUAAUAUGUGAAUUAUAGUGUAGUUUCUAAUGGAAUGAUUGGUGUCAUAUGAUUUGGUAACUGUUGUCACAUUUAAAUU
rnacentral:lncRNA from 1 species